rnacentral:lncRNA from 1 species
CGUGACUGGGAUCCUGGGCUUCCGAGCCUGGGCAGCCGGGUGGGCCAGCCAGUAGGAGCGAGGGGGAAGUAGCGAAGGCCCCAGCGGCGGCAGAUGGAAGGACCCUCCGAGCGCCAGCUGAGUCAUGGGGUGGUGCUAGGCUCUGGAGACACCGAAGCACACAUUCCUGACCCCUGGGAGGGCGAUGCGAAGAUUCACAAGCAGCAGGGAAUGUUGGGGCUGUGCCGUGCAGCCUGCGCUCUAGGAACCCUGUCGGGGAACUGGUUCUCGGAGAGCAAGUCGAGUCUUCCAGGUAGUGGAAACUACACAUUGUUUCCUGUACCGUGACAGCGGAGGAAAAAGGAGAGGUCUUUGAACUGAGGUGGGGGACUUGGGGGUUUUUCUGAGACGGGCUCUCGCUCUGUCGCCCAGGCUGGCGACGCUGGACCUCAGGCAAAGGACAGUAAUCCUUGAGAGACAGGAGACAAAACCAGUUUUCCGUCUGUCCAGCUCCACCACUAAAUAGUGUCUUUAUUCCGAGGAGCUACCUGAUUUGGGACUCAGUCUUCCUACAAGGCAAAAAGAGAAGACCUGGAUGCUCCACGUGGUCCAGACAUGGAGCAAGUAAACCGAGCUCUCGCCACACCGCACAGUCUCCUCAGCCUCCUGCUCAAUGUGCUUUCAUUGGAAAUGCUUAUUGUAAAUGAUGACACUUUUUUAAAACCAAAAUUCAAUUAAAUUCAAUACAUAUUUAUUGGGCACAUGCUUCAUUUAAGUUCCUGGUUUACAAAGAUCCAUUCCUACCCCUGAGGACCUCAUAAUCUGUGGGAGACAUAAAUAGAAACAGCUGAGAAUGAUCAUAUAAAAUCCACACAUAGCCUCUUGCACACAUAUCCCAGAAAGGAAAGGACAAAACUUUAAACGCAUCCAUGCCUUUGGUUUUGGAAAUGUUACGGAUUUUGAGAGUAUCAAAUGCAGUACAUUCUCCUAUUAUUGAGAGUUAGGUAGCUCAGACAAUCUUCUACAGAGAUAUGAAAAGAUAGGUUGAAAAAAUAAGUCUCCAGUUUCUUUGGAGUUUGCUGUUUAGGAAAAAAUGCAACGUAAGUGUCUCAGGGUUGGCUGGGUAUGAUGACUCAUGUCUGUAAUCACAGUGACUCAGAAGGCUUCAGUGGGAUGGAUGGUUGAGUCCAGGAGUUUGAGACCAGCCUGAACAACAUAGCAAGAGCCCGUCUCUAAAAACAUUUUUUUUUAAUUAGCUGGAACGGUGGCACGUAACUGUAGUUCCAGCUACUUGGGAGACUGGGGCAGGAGGAUCACUUGAGCUGAGGAGGUCAAGGCUGCAGUGAGCCAUGAUCAUGCCACUGCACUCCAGCCUGGGCAACAGAACAAGACCUUGUCUGGAAAAAAACAGAACAAAACAAAAAACCCACAAAAGUUACAGGUUGAAGUAGACAAUAUGGUACUAAGAUUCAUAAUAAAAUAAUGGGAAUCACUUAUGUACUCUAUUUUACUUAGUCAUUGCAUUUAAAAUCUGUGAUGAAAUAUACAAUUAUAGGAAUAAUGUAAUUUAAAACCAGUGAAAGGCUGGGCAUGGUGGCUCACACCUGUAAUCCCAGCACUUUGGGAGGCUGAAGGAGGUAGAUCACUUGAGGUCAGGAGUUUGAGACCAGCUUGGCCAACAUGGUGAAACCCCGUCUCUACUAAAUAUACAAAAAAUUAGCCAGGCGUGGUGGCGUGUGCCUGUAGUCCCAGCUACAAGGGAGGCUGAGGCACAAGAAUUGCUUGAACCUGGGAGGCAGAGGUUGCAGUGAGCCGAGAUCACACCACUGCACUGCAGCCUGGGUGACAAAGCAAGACUCUGUCUCAAAACAAAAAAAACAAACAAACAAACAACAGUGAAAGACAGAACUGGUAAGAAGAAAUCAGAUCUGCCUUAAAUUUGGGAUCUGCUAAAAUAGUGGCUCUGUGAUACAUUGUAGCAAGUCAAUGGAUAGCCUCUGCCUUUAGGCAAAGCGAUGAAUAUUAAUCACGAAAGCUCCCCCAGUUUAAGCAAUCUAGUAGGCAGAACCAAAUUCGGCAUAUUGUAAGAGCUCUGGUCUUCCAGCCAGAAUGCCUGGUUUCUGAUUGCAGCUGUUACUUCCUAGCUGUGUGUUCUUGGAGAAGUUACUUGAUCCUCCUGUGCCUCAGUCCCCUUGACAGUAAAAUGAAGAUGAUGGUAAUAGUAUCUGUCCAUGACUAAAUGAGUCACUCCACAGCCCAAGGCAAAUGCUCCAUCAGUGCUCAAUACUAUAAUUGUGAUCAUGCUGGUGUUAAGCAUCCAGGUUUGGGG